rnacentral:rRNA from 1 species
AUUGAACGCUGGCGGCAGGCUUAACACAUGCAAGUCGAGCGGAGCGAGGGUGCUUGCACCUUAGCUUAGCGGCGGACGGGUGAGUAAUGCUUAGGAAUCUGCCUAUUAGUGGGGGACAACAUUCCGAAAGGAAUGCUAAUACCGCAUACGCCCUACGGGGGAAAGCAGGGGAUCUUCGGACCUUGCGCUAAUAGAUGAGCCUAAGUCGGAUUAGCUAGUUGGUGGGGGAAAGGCCUACCAAGGCGACGAUCUGUAGCGGGUCUGAGAGGAUGAUCCGCCACACUGGGACUGAGACACGGCCCAGACUCCUACGGGAGGCAGCAGUGGGGAAUAUUGGACAAUGGGCGGAAGCCUGAUCCAGCCAUGCCGCGUGUGUGAAGAAGGUCUUCGGAUUGUAAAGCACUUUAAGUUGGGAGGAAGGGUAUUCACCUAAUACGUGGGUACUUUGACGUUACCAACAGAAUAAGCACCGGCUAACUCUGUGCCAGCAGCCGCCGUAACAC